rnacentral:rRNA from 1 species
UACGGAGGGUGCGAGCGUUGUCCGGAAUCAUUGGGCGUAAAGGGCGCGUAGGUGGCCCAGUAAGCGUGCGGUGAAAGCUCGGGGCUCAACCCCGAGUCGGCCGUGCGAACUACUGGGCUGGAGCACUGUAGAGGCAGGCGGAAUUCCGGGUGUAGCGGUGGAAUGCGUAGAGAUCCGGAAGAACACCGGUGGCGAAGGCGGCCUGCUGGGCAGUUGCUGACACUGAGGCGCGACAGCAUGGGGAGCAAACAGG